AGGAUGCAAAGGAAACAAAUGCAGACUCGGAUGAACAUGAUGGAAGUCAUGGAAAACGGCAAUUGAAAAGCCAAAUCAAUUAUUGCUUCAUUUGCAAGAAACCCCAAACAAAAUUUGCUCGGCACUUAAAAAGGCAUGCACACCAGAAUGCAGAUGUCGCCAAGGCGUUAUCACUACCUCCAAGUUCAUGUGAGAGAAAGAAAAUUUUGGAAAAAUUGCGGAAUCUUGGUAAUUUCUCACAUAAUACAGAAGUCCAAGCCACUGGAUCCGGGGCUCUAAAAGUCAAAAGAGAAUCUAAAACAAGCAAUGUCUCUGAGGCAUAUGAUUUCUGCACCCACUGCAAAGGGAUGUUUUCCCGUAGAGAACUAUGGAAACACAUGAAGCGAUGCCUGCUCAAUUCGGCAAUGACAGAGGAAACAAGUGCAGGAAGGAAAAAAAUUACAAGUUUGUCUAAAUAUGGAGCAUCUGAAAGUGUAUCUCAAAAGCUCUUGGCAUUGAUCGAAAAAAUGCAUAAAAAUGAAGUCUAUGACGCAAUCAUGAAUGACUUCUUUGUUCUCCGGUUUGGGUCAACAAUGUACAACAAACAUGGACUUGACAAGUCUAAACAUGACUACAUCCGCCAGAAGCUAAGAGAAUUGGGCAGAUUGCUUGUAGCUUUGAGAAAUACGUCAACUAUAGACUCUGUGAAAGAAGCAGUCAAACCAUCCAAUUUCAAGACUCUUAUCAAGGCCGUGAAGAAGGUCGCUGGCUUUGAUGAAGUAACUGGAAUCUACAAAUCACCCAGUUUGGCCCUUAAAAUUGGGCACUCCCUCCGGCGGGUUAGUGAACUGAUUAUGUGCCAGUUUCUUAUGGAUGAGGAUGACGAGGGGGUCGAGUCAAUCAGAAGGUUCCACAAAUUGUACGACACCCAGUGGUCAGAAUUUGUUUCCCACUCAGCCUUGACAAAUUUGAGCGAUGCUAAUUACAACAAGAGCACAACCAUCCCUCUAGCAGAGGAUGUUCAGAGACUUCAUCUCCAUCUUCAGCAGGAGGCAGAUUUGGCUACAGAGAACCUGAACAGUACAUCAUCCACAGGUACUUAUGCAGCCCUGGCUAAACUAACACUAUGCAAAGUCAUUCUAUUCAACAGGAGGAGGUCUGGUGAAGUCUCAAAGAUGACUUUAAAAAAUUUCCUGGAUCGGGAUAACUCAAAAAUCAACGACGACAUAACCACAGGACUGAACAAAAUCGAGAAGAGACUUUGUCAGCAGCUCAAUAGAGUCGAAUUGAAGGGGAAAAGGGGACGCAAAGUCGCGGUCCUCCUCACACCCGACAUGACUGCUUCAUUAACUCUCCUUGUCAGCAAAAGGAAAGAGUGUGGAGUCGAUGAUGGCAAUGGACACCUCUUUGCAAUUCCCCACUGUCAAGGUUUCUUCAGAGGACAAGACUGCCUCCGUAAAAAUGCUCGAGCUUGUGGAGCUGUUAACCCGUGCAGUUUGACCUCAACUAAUCUACGCAAGCAUAUUGCGACAAUUAGUCAGGUCAUGAAUCUAAAAGACAAUGAAUUGGACCAGCUUGCAAACUUCUUAGGCCAUGACAUACGGGUGCAUCGGGAAUACUACCGCUUGCCCCAGUCGACGAUUCAGCUUGCAAAAAUAUCUAAGCUGCUGAUUGCCAUGCAGGGCGGGAGUGUGAAAGACAUCCAAGGGAAGUCACUCGACCAGAUAGGCGAUGACGUAGAAGAUUUUGCCCCUACUCCCAAUCAUCCUGGUCCUCUUCCUGGAACUGGCAUCCAAGGUGGCGUGGAAGAUUUCGCCCCUACUCCCAAUCAUCCAGCUCCUCCUCCUGAAACUGGCAUCCAAGGUAAACACAUUCCAUCUGAGAGGAGGCGCUGUGUUAAGAGACCGUGGUCAGGCACUGAAGCAAAGGCUGUGAUGAGGCACAUGGAGCCAUACGUUCGCAACGGACUUCUCGUCACGAGCGCUCAAUGUGCCAUGUGCAAAAAAAAAGAACACCCCGCAUUGGAAGGACGCACAAUUCAAAACAUUCGCGAUUUUGUGAGAAAUAAUGGCCAAAAAAAAAAAAAAAAGUAGUAUUCAGUAUUCACCCAUGGAAUUGUCAACACUACUGUCCUUGAAAUAAAGGCC
ensembl:lncRNA